rfam:Mycosphaerella eumusae strain CBS 114824 scaffold65, whole genome shotgun sequence.
UAACGUGAUGAUCAACCUGAUAGGGACAGCUUAUGCUACGGCAUUUGAUUAGACCAAAAGGGACAGUAUUUUAGUAGAUGCUUGUCAUGUCUGACA